AAUACAUGCAAGUCGAACGCUUCUUUCCUCCCGAGUGCUUGCACUCAAUUGGAAAGAGGAGUGGCGGACGGGUGAGUAACACGUGGGUAACCUACCCAUCAGAGGGGGAUAACACUUGGAAACAGGUGCUAAUACCGCAUAACAGUUUAUGCCGCAUGGCAUAAGAGUGAAAGGCGCUUUCGGGUGUCGCUGAUGGAUGGACCCGCGGUGCAUUAGCUAGUUGGUGAGGUAACGGCUCACCAAGGCCACGAUGCAUAGCCGACCUGAGAGGGUGAUCGGCCACACUGGGACUGAGACACGGCCCAGACUCCUACGGGAGGCAGCAGUAGGGAAUCUUCGGCAAUGGACGAAAGUCUGACCGAGCAACGCCGCGUGAGUGAAGAAGGUUUUCGGAUCGUAAAACUCUGUUGUUAGAGAAGAACAAGGACGUUAGUAACUGAACGUCCCCUGACGGUAUCUAACCAGAAAGCCACGGCUAACUACGUGCCAGCAGCCGCGGUAAUACGUAGGUGGCAAGCGUUGUCCGGAUUUAUUGGGCGUAAAGCGAGCGCAGGCGGUUUCUUAAGUCUGAUGUGAAAGCCCCCGGCUCAACCGGGGAGGGUCAUUGGAAACUGGGAGACUUGAGUGCAGAAGAGGAGAGUGGAAUUCCAUGUGUAGCGGUGAAAUGCGUAGAUAUAUGGAGGAACACCAGUGGCGAAGGCGGCUCUCUGGUCUGUAACUGACGCUGAGGCUCGAAAGCGUGGGGAGCAAACAGGAUUAGAUACCCUGGUAGUCCACGCCGUAAACGAUGAGUGCUAAGUGUUGGAGGGUUUCCGCCCUUCAGUGCUGCAGCAAACGCAUUAAGCACUCCGCCUGGGGAGUACGACCGCAACGUUGAAACUCAAAGGGAGUUGACGGGGGCCCGCACAAGCGGUGGAGCAUGUGGGUUUAAUUCGAAGCAACGCGAAGAACCUUACCAGGUCUUGACAUCCUUUGACCACUCUAGAGAUAGAGCUUUCCCUUUCGGGGACAAAGUGACAGGUGGUGCAU
rnacentral:rRNA from 1 species